GGCGUGUUUGGUUCCUUGCGUAGCCUCAAACUGCAUCGUAUCUACCAUCCUGGUUGAGUCUAGCCUGGCCAAUCUGAUGCAAAACUGAGUUCAGAUGUAUGUUUGGUUGUGUGCAUGGCGUGGGGCAGACUAAUGUGAGAUAUUGUUUGGUAGGUUGUAUGAGAAGUCAACCAAGUACUUCCCCAAAGCAUUACAGUGACGAAAAUUCGACGACCAGAUCAAGCCGCCACCAACGCGAGUGGUCUUGCCGAGCCGGCACAGCCGGGGCCUCCGCCCUUGACGCAGCCUAAGCCCGCGAGCGGAGGAGCACGGAUGUCCAGCAGUAGGUCACGGUGGACGAGGGAGCUCCCGAAAGGAGUUCAAAUGGCAGGAUUGAGGCGGACAGGGAAGCUCACCGGCUGGGGACAAGGAAGAUUCAACCGACGGCACAAAAGGGAGCUCCGACCACCAUGACGGCGAAUGGUUUGCCUGUUCGAUCCGAUCUGAUGCGUGAGAGAGAGGUGAGGAAAGAGAGAUACACGGUUGGUUUCGGUGGCAGUAUUGAUGUAAUUCUGAAAAAUGACGAGGUCGAUCCCAUAUACCGUUUCGUUUUAAGUGGAGCCGCGGGUGCAGGCGUGAGGAUGCAUCAGAGAAACGCUAGAUUCCUGCGUUCCUCUCAGCUUGGCUGAGAGGCCUCUUUCUGCAUCUGUCGGGCCUGGCCGAGGAGGCCACACAGGUAACCAAACGAGCUGGAUUCUGCAUCCGUGAUGCGAGCCAGGUGCGAGGCACCCAUCCAAACACGCCC
rnacentral:lncRNA from 1 species